GGGAUCAUUACACAAUAUGAAAGCGGGCUGGAAUCCUUUGGGGUUACAGCCUUGCUGAAUUAUUCACCCGUGUCUUUUGCGUACUUCUUGUUUCCUUGGUGGGUUCGCCCACCAUAGGACAAACCAUUAAACCUUAUGUAAUUGCAAUCAGCGUCAGUAAAAAAAUUAAUAAUUACAACUUUUAACAACGGAUCUCUUGGUUCUGGCAUCGAUGAAGAACGCAGCGAAAUGCGAUAAGUAGUGUGAAUUGCAGAAUUCAGUGAAUCAUCGAAUCUUUGAACGCACAUUGCGCCCUUUGGUAUUCCAAAGGGCAUGCCUGUUCGAGCGUCAUUUGUACCCUCAAGCUUUGCUUGGUGUUGGGCGUCUUGUCUCCAGUUCGCUGGAGACUCGCCUUAAAGUAAUUGGCAGCCGGCCUACUGGUUUCGGAGCGCAGCACAGGUCGCGCUCUCUUCCAGCGAAGGUCAGCAUCCACAAAGCCUUUUUUUCAACUUUUGACCUCGGAUCAGGUAGGGAUACCCGGCUGAACUUAAGCAUAUCAAUAAGCGGGAGG
rnacentral:sRNA from 1 species